AGCUCAGUUGGUUAGAGCAUCUGACUGUUAAUCAGGGGGUCGUUGGUUCAAGUCCAUCAGGGG
rnacentral:tRNA from 1 species